AGCAGGUGGCGCUAUGGCUAUAACUGAAUUUGGGCAUGUAGAUAUGUUCAGGUCAGGAGUCUUAUCAAACAUGUGAAGUUUGGGGCAGAUUGGACAUUGUAUGUCUGAGUUAUAGCAACUUCAUUUUUCAUGGCGAAUCAUCGAAAUUCGUCAGGCCGCCACGGACACGCCCUUCAACGAAAACUCAAGAUCUUCGCAAUUUAACAUCGCAAAGGCCUUUAGAUUAGGCAUACCAAGUUUGGUGUUGAUCUGAAUAAAUCUCUAGGAGGAGUUCGUUAAAGUACAACGCAUGGAAAUGGCAAAAACGACACAAAUUUUGCUCAUAAAAUUAAAAAUAACCGACUUCCUGUUGGGUUUCGGAUAUUGCUCCAAGAGUCUUUUUUGUAGGUACUGAUGCUUUACAUAUGUGUGCCAAUUUUCGUGCAUGUACGUGAAACACAGCUCGAGGGCUGUUGAUUUUUUUACGAUAGGUGGCGCUGUCGAGCCAUUUUGCCACACCCUCUUCUGAAACCUAUAUCAGACGUAAAUUUUCACCAGGUCUGACGCGUGUGCAAACUUUCAGGACUUUUCGAGCAUGUUUAGGCCCUCAAAAAUGCGAUUCAUUUUGGAGAAGAAGAAGAAGAAGAAGAAGAAGAAGAAGAAGAAGAAUAAUAAUAAUAAACAAAGCAGAUACAAGAGGGUCCUCACACCAUCGGUGCUCGGGCCCUAAUAAUAAUAAUAAACACAGCAAUUCCAAUAGGGUCCUCACACCAUCGGUGCUCGGGCUCUAAUUAAAGCUGCAAGCAGCGAUGAAAGGACCCUCGCACCCGGGCUCACCACCACCCAGUGGCCAUAGGACAUCAGCAAACGUUGGACCAUAUGCUUUUAAAA
ensembl:lncRNA